ACGGCCGUACCAUGCUGAAUAUACCGGUUCUCGUUAGAUCACCGAAGUCAAGCAUCAUUGGGCGCGGUCAGUACUAGAGUGGGUGACCACCUGGGAACACCGCGUGCCGUCG
rnacentral:rRNA from 1 species